rnacentral:rRNA from 1 species
GUAGGGAAUAUUGGGCAAUGGUCGGAAGACUGACCCAGCCAUGCCGCGUGCAGGAAGACGGCCCUCUGGGUUGUAAACUGCUUUUAUCUGGGAAGAAAAAGGCCAUGCGUGGCAAAUUGCCGGUACCAGAUGAAUAAGCACCGGCUAACUCCGUGCCAGCAGCCGCGGUAAUACGGAGGGUGCGAGCGUUGUCCGGAUUUAUUGGGUUUAAAGGGUGCGUGGGCGGCUGAUUAAGUCAGCGGUGAAAGACUUCGGCUUAACCGGAGCAGUGCCGUUGAUACUGGUUGGCUUGAGUGUCGGAGGGGUACAUGGAAUUGAUGGUGUAGCGGUGAAAUGCAUAGAUACCAUCAGGAACACCGAUAGCGAAGGCAUUGUACUGGCCGACAACUGACGCUGAUGCACGAAAGUGUGGGGAUCGAACAGGAUUAGAUACCCGUGUAGUCC